UACAGAGGUCCCGAGCGUUGUUCGGAUUCAUUGGGCGUAAAGGGUGCGUAGGUGGCGCUGUAAGUGGGGUGUGAAAUCCCGGGGCUUAACUCCGGAACUGCAUUCCAUACUGCGGUGCUUGAGGACUGGAGAGGAGACUGGAAUUUACGGUGUAGCAGUGAAAUGCGUAGAGAUCGUAAGGAAGACCAGUGGCGAAGGCGGGUCUCUGGACAGUUCCUGACGCUGAGGCACGAAGGCCAGGGGAGCAAACGGG
rnacentral:rRNA from 1 species